ACGCUCGACACCUACGAGAGGCAGCAGUGGGGAAUAUUGCACAAUGGAGGAAACUCUGAUGCAGCGAUGCCGCGUGAGGGAAGAAGGUUUUCGGAUUGUAAACCUCUGUCUUUGGGGACGAUAAUGACGGUACCCAAGGAGGAAGCUCCGGCUAACUACGUGUCAGCAGCCGCGGUAAUCUGAGCGGGCUGGCAAGGC
rnacentral:rRNA from 1 species